AAUACCCAGGGACCAGUCAGGCCAGUGACACCUGCGAUCAACAGGUCCCUGGAGCCCCGCCCCUCUCCCCGCCUCGAGCCCGCCCCUCGGAGCGGGCUCCGCCUUCACGCUCACCGAGAUGACUGUAAUUGCAAAGAAGAGCUUGCUGUGAUAUCUGAUGGCAGAACAAUAGUGUGCUACCACCAUUCUGUGGACAUUUCAUAUGAGCAUACAAAACAAACCCUCAAUCAGAUUCUGUGCAUGAUAAUGAAGAAACAUAUGUUCAAGUGCUGAAAACUAGAUUGGAAGAUAAAGAUACUGAUCCUGGAGUGCUACAGGACCUAGAAGAGGUCUUUUCCAAGAGGCCUGGGACCCGAGGCCAGUUAGCUAUGUUGUAGAACUUUCAUGAACCCUUAUAUUUUACAUAGGUAGGAUUAAGGAAAAAUGAAUGUUAGAAACAGAGUUUAAAAAUUAAGUUUGAGAAUGGAAUAUAUGUAGAAAUUGAUCAGUAUUCCUGCUUGCUUUUUCAAGGUAACAUGGGGAAGAAAAAAACAUUAUUUCAGGUUGAUUAAAUAAUGCAUUUGUCAUUAUUUCAGCUGACAGAGGAGUCACCUUCUUUCAUUGGUUAUAACUUCCAGGUGCCUACUUUCCUUAAGCAAGGUGGAAACACCCUAAAGCAAGGGACUUGGAGAUUAUUGUUUUUAUUCACUAUAUGCUUGUUUUGUUGUGUCGAGGAAUCAGAAUCCAGGUGCAAUAUUUUUCUUGAUUCAAAACAUUCCAAACAGGUAUUUACAUGAAAAACCAUUUUAGGUAUUAAAAAAAGAGGCAGUACUGUACUACAUGUCAAUCCCAUGGGAACUCCCUUCUGAUUAUGUAAUACACUUCCCAAAGAGUUACAGUAUACUGAUCAAGGAAAGUAUCCACCAUUAUUGAUUUUUAAAAAUUCUUACAUAACGUACAAAAUGUGAAUGCUCACAAGAAAUAAGACCAUUUUAGCAAGCUCCUAAAUAGGCUACCUUUUUUUGUUUUUGAGACAGGGUCUCACUCUGUCACCCAGGAUGGAGUGCCGUGGUGCAAUCUCGGCUCUACAACCUCCACCUCCCAGGUUCGAGGGAUUCUUGCACCUCAGCCACCCAAGUAGUUGGGAUUACAGGUGCACCCCACCACACUCAGCUAAUUUUUGUAUUUUUAGUAGAGACUGGGUUUCACCAUUUUGGCCAGGGUGGUCUGGAACUCCUGGCCUCGUGUGAUCCGUCUGCCUCAGCCUCCCAAAGUGCUGGGAUUACAGGCGUGAGCCACCAUGCCUGAUCUGUAAAUAGGCUAUCUUAAUGACAAUUUUGAGUCUGGAGAAUGGAGCUAAUGCUAAUGUUUAUCCUAAAAAUUAGGCUACUUUCGUGUUUCUGAUUCUCUGUGUAUGUUUAAUAUAAUCAUUGUUCCAACAUAUAUUCCAAAUCCAGGCUAGGUAUAUGAAUUAGUUCGUUCACGCUGCUAUAAAGAUACUACCUGAGACUGGGUAAUUUAUAAAGAAAGGAGAGUUAAUUGACUCACAGUUCUGCAUGGCUGGGGAGGCCUCAGGAAACUUACAAUCAUGGCAGAAGGCAAAGGGGAAGCAAGUACCUUGUUCACAAAGUGGGAGGAGAGAGAGAGAGCAAAGUGGGAACUGGGAAACACGUUUAAACCAUCAGAUUUUGUGAGAACUCCCUGACUAUCAUGAGAACAGCAUGGGAUAAAUCAUCCCUUUGAUCCAAUUACCUCCCACCAGGUCCCUCCCUUGAUUUGGGUGGGAACAUAGAGCCAAAUCAUAUUGGUAUAUUUAUCCCAAAGUAAUUCCAGUGUCAUCUCUAAUCUAACUUAGUUCUGAAUACCAUUGCUUUUUUACUGUGUGAUCUGAAUAAUUUUUCAUUUUUUUAAAUAAAAAUACCUUCCAUUUAUUG
rnacentral:lncRNA from 10 species